ACAGGGGGUCUUCUCUCUUGGCUUUGGAGCUCCCCAUUCCUCUGUGUCUGUAACAGGGGAGCUUCUUCCUUCUUUCUUCUCCCUUCUUUCUUGCCUGUUAAACUCUCUGCUUCUUAAAACCACUCCAUGUAUGUCCAGGUCAUUUUAUCUAAUUUGGAGACGGAGAACCCUGGUGUUCCUCUGCUCAUCAGAGCCGUCUCACCUGCAAGGGCCAGGAUCCAGCACUAGGGCUGCCCUUUAUGUUCAUGCAGCCUCCACUAGGAAGAUCCUCCUUAGCUGCCACCUGCUGUAAAGGGAUCUAUCUAUCUAUCUGUCUAUCUAUCUAUCUAUCUAUCUUUCUAUCUACCUGUCGAGAGAGAGAGAGGUUUAUUAUAAGGAAUUGACUCAUGUGAUUAUGGAGGCUGAGAAGUUCCACAGUCUGCUGUCUGCAAGCUGGAGACCCAGGAAGGCUGCUGGUGCCGUUCCAGUUUGAUUCUGAAGGCCUGAGAACCAGAACUGAUGCUCAACAUUGGAAUCCCUGCUCUUUCACUGCACACACUGACCACCCACUGCAGGCUGGGGGUCCUAGAGGAUUUCACGUGCUAGGCUGUCCCAAAUAGAGGAGGUCCUGCUACAGCACCGGCACCAUUAGUCCUUUCUGGGCCGUGCUCUGUGAGCCCUUGAGAGGACAAGAAACCAAUGUCAAAGCCAUGGAAUGAUCCCAUUCAAUUCUCAUCAAGGAAUAGAGAAGACAUAAAAUUCAGCAAAUGGAGGAGCCCACUCAACAUGAAGAUGACAAGGAUGAAGACCUUUAUGAUGAUCCAUUCCCACUUACUGAAUAUGGUCCUUUGGGAUCAGAGAGCACAGCUGCCACCACCAAGGAGCUGCAAUCACCACCACCAAGAAGCUGUAGCAACAGAGACCAGCGCAACGGUACUGUGAGGACCCAAGAAAACCCAGCUGUGAGCCAGGAGCUUUCCUCCCUGAAGCUUUCAACACCACGGGAAUUGAUUCAUGGCCCUGUCAUUUCAUCUCAUUCCUCGUGGACUCUCAGCAUCUUUAGAAUGACCUGAACAUUGUGGAGGGAGUCCAGAAUCCCUACCCCUGGGCUCUGAGGCAAUGCCUUGGGUUUUUGCAUUGUCUCUUUUCUAGUAAUGGCAGCAACAACAACAACAGCGAAAACCCCAGCUCAACCCACUCUGACCCUAGCGCUCUCUUCCUGGUGUCUUCACUUGCACAGCUUAAAAACUAUAAAUAACAAGGCCCUUUUCCAAAUGUCUUUUGGUAAACUAUGCCUGACCCUGAAAACAAGGCCACCAUCUUCCAGGUGGGAGUGGCCUGUGAGAUUAUAACCUCAGUCCUCUUUCCUAAUAACUGGCUGCUGUGAUCUA
rnacentral:lncRNA from 1 species